GAUUUCGUAGCUCAGCAGGUAGAGCAUCGGUCUGUUAAACCGAAAGUCGGAGGUUCGAGUCCUUCUGGAAUCG
rnacentral:tRNA from 1 species